rnacentral:rRNA from 1 species
UGGGGAAUAUUGCACAAUGGGCGAAAGCCUGAUGCAGCAACGCCGCGUGAGUGAUGAAGGCCUUCGGGUUGUAAAGCUCUGUCUUUUGGGACGAUAAUGACGGUACCAAAGGAGGAAGCCACGGCUAACUACGUGCCAGCAGCCGCGGUAAUACGUAGGUGGCAAGCGUUGUCCGGAUUUACUGGGCGUAAAGGAUGCGUAGGCGGAUUUUAAGUGAGAUGUGAAAUACCCGGGCUAACUUGGGUGCUGCAUUUCAAACUGGGAAUCUAGAGUGCGGGAGAGGAGAAUGGAAUUCCUAGUGUAGCGGUGAAAUGCGUAGAGAUUAGGAAGAACACCAGUGGCGAAGGCGAUUCUCUGGACCGUAACUGACGCUGAGGCAUGAAAGCGUGGGUAGCAAACAGGAUUAGAUACCCUGGUAGUCCACGCCGUAAACGAUGAGUACUAGGUGUAGGAGGUAUCGACCCCUUCUGUGCCGCAGUUAACACAAUCAAGUACUCCGCCUGGGAAGUACGAUCGCAAGAUU